rnacentral:rRNA from 1 species
UUUUAAAGAGAGUUUGAUCCUGGCUCAGGACGAACGCUGGCGGCGUGCCUAAUACAUGCAAGUCGAACGAACCGACGAAAAGCUUGCUUUU